rnacentral:rRNA from 2 species
GGGUUGUGAGGUUAAGCGACUAAGCGUACACGGUGGAUGCCCUGGCAGUCAGAGGCGAUGAAGGGCGUGCUAAUCUGCGAUAAGCGCCGGUAAGGUGAUAUGAACCGUUAUAACCGGCGAUACCCGAAUGGGGAAACCCAGUGUGACUCGUCACACUAUCAUUAACUGAAUCCAUAGGUUAAUGAGGCGAACCGGGGGAACUGAAACAUCUAAGUACCCCGAGGAAAAGAAAUCAACCGAGAUUCCCCCAGUAGCGGCGAGCGAACGGGGAGGAGCCCAGAGCCUGAAUCAGCAUGUGUGUUAGUGGAAGCGUCUGGAAAGGCGCGCGAUACAGGGUGACAGCCCCGUACACAAAAGCGCAUGUGCUGUGAGCUCGAUGAGUAGGGCGGGACACGUGGUAUCCUGUCUGAAUAUGGGGGGACCAUCCUCCAAGGCUAAAUACUCCUGACUGACCGAUAGUGAACCAGUACCGUGAGGGAAAGGCGAAAAGAACCCCGGCGAGGGGAGUGAAAAAGAACCUGAAACCGUGUACGUACAAGCAGUGGGAGCACAGGUUUACCUGUGUGACUGCGUACCUUUUGUAUAAUGGGUCAGCGACUUAUAUUCUGUAGCAAGGUUAACCGAAUAGGGGAGCCGGAGGGAAACCGAGUCUUAAUUGGGCGUUAAGUUGCAGGGUAUAGACCCGAAACCCGGUGAUCUAGCCAUGGGCAGGUUGAAGGUUGGGUAACACUAACUGGAGGACCGAACCGACUAAUGUUGAAAAAUUAGCGGAUGACCUGUGGCUGGGGGUGAAAGGCCAAUCAAACCGGGAGAUAGCUGGUUCUCCCCGAAAGCUAUUUAGGUAGCGCCUCGUGAAUUCAUCUCCGGGGGUAGAGCACUGUUUCGGCUAGGGGGCCAUCCCGGCUUACCAACCCGAUGCAAACUGCGAAUACCGGAGAAUGUUAUCACGGGAGACACACGGCGGGUGCUAACGUCCGUCGUGAAGAGGGAAACAACCCAGACCGCCAGCUAAGGUCCCAAAGUCAUGGUUAAGUGGGAAACGAUGUGGGAAGGCCCAGACAGCCAGGAUGUUGGCUUAGAAGCAGCCAUCAUUUAAAGAAAGCGUAAUAGCUCACUGGUCGAGUCGGCCUGCGCGGAAGAUGUAACGGGGCUAAACCAUGCACCGAAGCUGCGGCAGCGAACGUAUCACUUAAAGCGAUUCAGCGGGUUACGAUUGACGGAGCGAAGCGACGUCAAAGCGUAUACAAAGUCGAGUCGGUUUAAGGAUACGUUCGUUGGGUAGGGGAGCGUUCUGUAAGCCUGUGAAGGUGGCCUGUGAGGGUUGCUGGAGGUAUCAGAAGUGCGAAUGCUGACAUAAGUAACGAUAAAGCGGGUGAAAAGCCCGCUCGCCGGAAGACCAAGGGUUCCUGUCCAACGUUAAUCGGGGCAGGGUGAGUCGACCCCUAAGGCGAGGCCGAAAGGCGUAGUCGAUGGGAAACGGGUUAAUAUUCCCGUACUUGGUGUUACUGCGAAGGGGGGACGGAGAAGGCUAUGUUGGCCGGGCGACGGUUGUCCCGGUUUAAGCGUGUAGGUGUGUGUUCCAGGUAAAUCCGGUUCACUUUAACACUGAGGCGUGAUGACGAGGCACUACGGUGCUGAAGCAACAAAUGCCCUGCUUCCAGGAAAAGCCUCUAAGCAUCAGGUAACAUCAAAUCGUACCCCAAACCGACACAGGUGGUCAGGUAGAGAAUACCAAGGCGCUUGAGAGAACUCGGGUGAAGGAACUAGGCAAAAUGGUGCCGUAACUUCGGGAGAAGGCACGCUGACACGUAGGUGAAGUGAUUUACUCACGGAGCUGAAGUCAGUCGAAGAUACCAGCUGGCUGCAACUGUUUAUUAAAAACACAGCACUGUGCAAACACGAAAGUGGACGUAUACGGUGUGACGCCUGCCCGGUGCCGGAAGGUUAAUUGAUGGGGUCAGCGCAAGCGAAGCUCCUGAUCGAAGCCCCGGUAAACGGCGGCCGUAACUAUAACGGUCCUAAGGUAGCGAAAUUCCUUGUCGGGUAAGUUCCGACCUGCACGAAUGGCGUAAUGAUGGCCAGGCUGUCUCCACCCGAGACUCAGUGAAAUUGAACUCGCUGUGAAGAUGCAGUGUACCCGCGGCAAGACGGAAAGACCCCGUGAACCUUUACUAUAGCUUGACACUGAACAUUGAGCCUUGAUGUGUAGGAUAGGUGGGAGGCUUUGAAGUGUGGACGCCAGUCUGCAUGGAGCCGACCUUGAAAUACCACCCUUUAAUGUUUGAUGUUCUAACGUGGACCCGUAAUCCGGGUUGCGGACAGUGUCUGGUGGGUAGUUUGACUGGGGCGGUCUCCUCCUAAAGAGUAACGGAGGAGCACGAAGGUUGGCUAAUCCUGGUCGGACAUCAGGAGGUUAGUGCAAUGGCAUAAGCCAGCUUGACUGCGAGCGUGACGGCGCGAGCAGGUGCGAAAGCAGGUCAUAGUGAUCCGGUGGUUCUGAAUGGAAGGGCCAUCGCUCAACGGAUAAAAGGUACUCCGGGGAUAACAGGCUGAUACCGCCCAAGAGUUCAUAUCGACGGCGGUGUUUGGCACCUCGAUGUCGGCUCAUCACAUCCUGGGGCUGAAGUAGGUCCCAAGGGUAUGGCUGUUCGCCAUUUAAAGUGGUACGCGAGCUGGGUUUAGAACGUCGUGAGACAGUUCGGUCCCUAUCUGCCGUGGGCGCUGGAGAACUGAGGGGGGCUGCUCCUAGUACGAGAGGACCGGAGUGGACGCAUCACUGGUGUUCGGGUUGUCAUGCCAAUGGCACUGCCCGGUAGCUAAAUGCGGAAGAGAUAAGUGCUGAAAGCAUCUAAGCACGAAACUUGCCCCGAGAUGAGUUCUCCCUGAGACUUAGAGUCUCCUGAAGGAACGUUGAAGACGACGACGUUGAUAGGCCGGGUGUGUAAGCGCAGCGAUGCGUUGAGCUAACCGGUACUAAUGAACCGUGAGGCUUAACCUUACAACGCCGAAG